rnacentral:lncRNA from 1 species
GCAUAUGGCUCUUCAGGGCUUAUAUCUAAGACCGUUGUGUGGCACAUUUAAUCACUUUAUAUUUCAUGAGCUCCUUUAUUAUUGAUAUGGUCCAUUCUUCAAUAUUUCUAUCACAUAGCUCUAUGCUGCUGGUAACUCUAUUGCUGAUCGGUCAUUUAUCAGUUUCUCUCUCUCGUCUUCUCAGUUUUUUGAUCAUUUCUGCCAAUAAUGCUUGGGAUUUCUUACUGAUUAGCUUUAUAAUGUUUGCCUUGUCCCAUUCUAUUCUCAAGUCACUGGUAUAGAUCUGUAUCGAUAAAACUGUAGUCAUUUUUCCCCUGAUGAUGUCUCUGUUAUUCUCCUCUAAUCUCUGGACCGAGGUUCAAGUUGUCAUCCUUAUAUAUGAUGACUGUUGCUGGGUCUCUAAGUCUACCACCAGUAUCUUGUAGAUAUCUUGCUUCUCCUUGUCUUUUCUGGGAUCCUUUUAAUUUUUUAGCAAAUUAAAUAAUGUUGGUCCCCUCUGAAAUGUCAGUAUCUUCUUUAUUUUCCC